CUUCCUGAUUGAACAGAACCACGCGUUGUCUGUGUGGUUUACAAGUUUCUUGGCGAUAUGGGGGGAAAGUUCCUCACAUACCAACGGAAAAUGGGCUUCAUAUACAUGCUGCUGUCUCAUAAUAUGGCGAAGACGAGUCACCUGAAGGCCUAACUCGCCAUAGAAGACUGAAAGAAUUGUCCUGCAGGAUGCUGUGUCCUGCAAUCCUGUGUGCUGUGCUACAGACGCGUGUGGAGGUCAACCCAAAAUGGGCACAGUCUCACCACAGAAGAGUGAAAGAGGAUCCUGGCAGGGAGACGGUAGUGUCCUGCAGAAUGGUGAUGGGCCAAUCUUACAAGAGACCACAGAAAACUGAUAUAGUGAACUAUAGAAACAACAGUGCCUGCUGCAGUAUAACGAGGACACCCUGAGCAGAGAGCUCCAAUAGACCCAGGUCCAGUGUCUUGGCAGGGUGAAAUGGCACUGAUAUGGUGUCCUGCAGGAUGCUGUGUCCUGCAAUCCUGUGUGCUGUGCUACAGACGCAUGUGGAGGUCAACCCAAAAUGGGCACAGUCUCACCACAGAAGAGUGAAAGAGGCUCCCAGAAGUGAGACUGAGUGCCUGUUGCAGUAUGACGAGGACGCAGUGACCAGAGACCUUCAGUAGACCCUGCUGGCAUGAUUGGCGUCUGAAGAACAUGAAAUCAACAGCAAUGUUUAUAAUGUUGUACAUACCUGUAUAGUCUGUAUUAAAAGGCAGUACCUGUA